UGGGGAAUAUUGCACAAUGGGCGCAAGCCUGAUGCAGCCAUGCCGCGUGUGUGAAGAAGGCCUUCGGGUUGUAAAGCACUUUCAGCGAGGAGGAAGGUGGUGAGCUUAAUACGCUCAUCAAUUGACGUUACUCGCAGAAGAAGCACCGGCUAACUCCGUGCCAGCAGCCGCGGUAAUACGGAGGGUGCAAGCGUUAAUCGGAAUUACUGGGCGUAAAGCGCACGCAGGCGGUUUGUUAAGUCAGNUGUGAAAUCCCCGGGCUCAACCUGGGAACUGCAUUUGAAACUGGCAAGCUAGAGUCUCGUAGAGGGGGGUAGAAUUUCCAGGUGUAGCGGUGAAAUGCGUAGAGAUCUGGAGGAAUACCGGUGGCGAAGGCGGCCCCCCUGGANGAAGACUGACGCUCAGGUGCGAAAGCGUGGGGCAGCAAACAGGAUUAGAUACCCUGGUAGUCCACGCUGUAAACGAUGUCGAUUUGGAGGUUGUG
rnacentral:rRNA from 1 species